UACAGAGGGUGCGAGCGUUAAUCGGAAUUACUGGGCGUAAAGCGCGCGUAGGCGGCUUUGCAAGUCGGGUGUGAAAUCCCCAGGCUUAACCUGGGAACUGCAUCCGAGACUGCAUUGCUAGAGUAUGGGAGAGGGAAGUGGAAUUUCAGGUGUAGCGGUGAAAUGCGUAGAUAUCUGAAGGAACAUCAGUGGCGAAAGCGACUUCCUGGACCAAUACUGACGCUCAUGUGCGAAAGCGUGGGGAGCAAACAGG
rnacentral:rRNA from 1 species